rnacentral:tRNA from 1 species
CCUGGUGGCUCAGACGGUAAAGCGUCUGCCUACAAUGCAGGAGACCCAGGUUCGACCCCUGGGUCAGGA